CCCAGAGUGAAAACUGAAGCAGACUCCUGUCCCUUUAAUAGCUGUGCAGAAGAGGGGAAUUGCAGCAGGUGUUGCUUAACAUGCAGAAAUAUGGGAUUUGCUUGUGCAAAAAAUGAUGUUAGCUGCUUGGAGGAUGAAGCACAUCUAGCAGCAUUCAUAUGCUUCAUGGUUACAAGAGCAAGAGAUGGAAUCAACCCAUGAUAUAGGAUUAUUCGUUCCACCUCCAUCGCUGGAAAAAGGAAGUUUGCACACCAUAUUACUAGAUUCUAUUAUGGAGAUCACGAGUAUGAAUUUAUAGGACCUAAGCAAAAGAGGAUCUUGGAGAUGUCUCAUCUACAGGGUUGCUGUGAGUCUGAGUCAACUCAAGGGUGGUGAACAACCACAUAAUAAUUUUAAUUAUAUGUUAUAAUUAUAUGUAAUAAGUAUAAUUAUUUAUUUGCAUGCAAUUUACUCAUUACUUAUUCAUAUAGUUAUAAUUAGAUUUAAUAUUUCUGUAAAUAAACCAUAUGGAAUGAA